rnacentral:rRNA from 1 species
CCUACGGGCGGCUGCAGUGGGGAAUAUUGGACAAUGGGGGCAACCCUGAUCCAGCCAUGCCGCGUGUGUGAAGAAGGCCCUCGGGUUGUAAAGCACUUUCAGUGAGGAAGAACGCCUGGUGGUUAAUACCCAUCAGGAAAGACAUCACUCACAGAAGAAGCACCGGCUAACUCCGUGCCAGCAGCCGCGGUAAUACGGAGGGUGCGAGCGUUAAUCGGAAUUACUGGGCGUAAAGCGCGCGUAGGUGGCUUGAUAAGCCGGUUGUGAAAGCCCCGGGCUCAACCUGGGAACGGCAUCCGGAACUGGCAAGCUAGAGUGCAGGAGAGGAAGGUAGAAUUCCCGGUGUAGCGGUGAAAGGCGUAGAGAUCGGGAGGAAUACCAGUGGCGAAGGCGGCCUUCUGGACUGACACUGACACUGGGGUGCGAAAGCGUGGGUAGCAAACAGGAUUAGAUACCCCAGUAGUC